ACGAGUUAGGGUCUUCUAGGCCCGACCUCCCAACCCUAUGUUUAUUGAACCUCUGUUGCUUCGGCGGACCCGUCUCAUGACCGCCGGAGGACCGCCGAAAGGCGUCCUCUGGCCAGCGUCCGCCGAUGGCCAACCACUUAAAACUCUGAAUGAAUCGUGUCAUAUGUCUAAGUCUAUGAUUAAAUUAAAGCA
rnacentral:misc_RNA from 1 species